rnacentral:rRNA from 1 species
AUUGAACGCUGGCGGUAUGCUUAACACAUGCAAGUCGAACGACGAAAGCUCCUUCGGGAGUUAUUAGAGUGGCGGACGGGUGAGUAAUGCGUAGGAAUCUGCCCUGCAGUGGGGGACAACCUGGGGGAAACUCAGGCUAAUACCGCAUACGUCUCACGAGAGAAAGCGGGCCUCUACUUGUAAGCUCGCGCUGCAGGAUGAGCCUACGUCGGAUUAGCUUGUUGGUGAGGUAAUAGCUCACCAAGGCAACGAUCCGUAGCUGGUCUGAGAGGAUGAUCAGCCACACUGGGACUGAGACACGGCCCAG